GGGGAGAGUCUUAGAAUCCCCAAGGGCGCCGUGUAAAUAGUGACUGUCUUUGGCCGGACGGCAUGGUUUGUGAAUC
rnacentral:ncRNA from 1 species